rnacentral:rRNA from 1 species
UAAGCGACUAAGCGUACACGGUGGAUGCCCUGGCAGUCAGAGGCGAUGAAGGACGUGCUAAUCUGCGAUAAGCGUCGGUAAGGUGAUAUGAACCGUUAUAACCGGCGAUUUCCGAAUGGGGAAACCCAGUGUGUUUCGACACACUAUCAUUAACUGAAUCCAUAGGUUAAUGAGGCGAACCGGGGGAACUGAAACAUCUAAGUACCCCGAGGAAAAGAAAUCAACCGAGAUUCCCCCAGUAGCGGCGAGCGAACGGGGAGCAGCCCAGAGCCUGAAUCAGUGUGUGUGUUAGUGGAAGCGUCUGGAAAGGCGCGCGAUACAGGGUGACAGCCCCGUACACAAAAAUGCACAUGCUGUGAGCUCGAUGAGUAGGGCGGGACACGUGGUAUCCUGUCUGAAUAUGGGGGGACCAUCCUCCAAGGCUAAAUACUCCUGACUGACCGAUAGUGAACCAGUACCGUGAGGGAAAGGCGAAAAGAACCCCGGCGAGGGGAGUGAAAAAGAACCUGAAACCGUGUACGUACAAGCAGUGGGAGCACGCUUAGGCGUGUGACUGCGUACCUUUUGUAUAAUGGGUCAGCGACUUAUAUUCUGUAGCAAGGUUAACCGAAUAGGGGAGCCGAAGGGAAACCGAGUCUUAACUGGGCGUUAAGUUGCAGGGUAUAGACCCGAAACCCGGUGAUCUAGCCAUGGGCAGGUUGAAGGUUGGGUAACACUAACUGGAGGACCGAACCGACUAAUGUUGAAAAAUUAGCGGAUGACUUGUGGCUGGGGGUGAAAGGCCAAUCAAACCGGGAGAUAGCUGGUUCUCCCCGAAAGCUAUUUAGGUAGCGCCUCGUGAAUUCAUCUCCGGGGGUAGAGCACUGUUUCGGCAAGGGGGUCAUCCCGACUUACCAACCCGAUGCAAACUGCGAAUACCGGAGAAUGUUAUCACGGGAGACACACGGCGGGUGCUAACGUCCGUCGUGAAGAGGGAAACAACCCAGACCGCCAGCUAAGGUCCCAAAGUCAUGGUUAAGUGGGAAACGAUGUGGGAAGGCCCAGACAGCCAGGAUGUUGGCUUAGAAGCAGCCAUCAUUUAAAGAAAGCGUAAUAGCUCACUGGUCGAGUCGGCCUGCGCGGAAGAUGUAACGGGGCUAAACCAUGCACCGAAGCUGCGGCAGCGACGCUUAUGCGUUGUUGGGUAGGGGAGCGUUCUGUAAGCCUGUGAAGGUGUGCUGUGAGGCAUGCUGGAGGUAUCAGAAGUGCGAAUGCUGACAUAAGUAACGAUAAAGCGGGUGAAAAGCCCGCUCGCCGGAAGACCAAGGGUUCCUGUCCAACGUUAAUCGGGGCAGGGUGAGUCGACCCCUAAGGCGAGGCCGAAAGGCGUAGUCGAUGGGAAACAGGUUAAUAUUCCUGUACUUGGUGUUACUGCGAAGGGGGGACGGAGAAGGCUAUGUUGGCCGGGCGACGGUUGUCCCGGUUUAAGCGUGUAGGCUGGUUUUCCAGGCAAAUCCGGAAAAUCAAGGCUGAGGCGUGAUGACGAGGCACUACGGUGCUGAAGCAACAAAUGCCCUGCUUCCAGGAAAAGCCUCUAAGCAUCAGGUAACAUCAAAUCGUACCCCAAACCGACACAGGUGGUCAGGUAGAGAAUACCAAGGCGCUUGAGAGAACUCGGGUGAAGGAACUAGGCAAAAUGGUGCCGUAACUUCGGGAGAAGGCACGCUGAUAUGUAGGUGAAGUCCCUCGCGGAUGGAGCUGAAAUCAGUCGAAGAUACCAGCUGGCUGCAACUGUUUAUUAAAAACACAGCACUGUGCAAACACGAAAGUGGACGUAUACGGUGUGACGCCUGCCCGGUGCCGGAAGGUUAAUUGAUGGGGUUAGCCGCAAGGCGAAGCUCUUGAUCGAAGCCCCGGUAAACGGCGGCCGUAACUAUAACGGUCCUAAGGUAGCGAAAUUCCUUGUCGGGUAAGUUCCGACCUGCACGAAUGGCGUAAUGAUGGCCAGGCUGUCUCCACCCGAGACUCAGUGAAAUUGAACUCGCUGUGAAGAUGCAGUGUACCCGCGGCAAGACGGAAAGACCCCGUGAACCUUUACUAUAGCUUGACACUGAACAUUGAGCCUUGAUGUGUAGGAUAGGUGGGAGGCUUAGAAGUGUGGACGCCAGUCUGCAUGGAGCCGACCUUGAAAUACCACCCUUUAAUGUUUGAUGUUCUAACGUUGACCCGUAAUCCGGGUUGCGGACAGUGUCUGGUGGGUAGUUUGACUGGGGCGGUCUCCUCCUAAAGAGUAACGGAGGAGCACGAAGGUUGGCUAAUCCUGGUCGGACAUCAGGAGGUUAGUGCAAUGGCAUAAGCCAGCUUGACUGCGAGCGUGACGGCGCGAGCAGGUGCGAAAGCAGGUCAUAGUGAUCCGGUGGUUCUGAAUGGAAGGGCCAUCGCUCAACGGAUAAAAGGUACUCCGGGGAUAACAGGCUGAUACCGCCCAAGAGUUCAUAUCGACGGCGGUGUUUGGCACCUCGAUGUCGGCUCAUCACAUCCUGGGGCUGAAGUAGGUCCCAAGGGUAUGGCUGUUCGCCAUUUAAAGUGGUACGCGAGCUGGGUUUAGAACGUCGUGAGACAGUUCGGUCCCUAUCUGCCGUGGGCGCUGGAGAACUGAGGGGGGCUGCUCCUAGUACGAGAGGACCGGAGUGGACGCAUCACUGGUGUUCGGGUUGUCAUGCCAAUGGCACUGCCCGGUAGCUAAAUGCGGAAGAGAUAAGUGCUGAAAGCAUCUAAGCACGAAACUUGCCCCGAGAUGAGUUCUCCCUGACUCCUUGAGAGUCCUGAAGGAACGUUGAAGACGACGACGUUGAUAGGCCGGGUGUGUAAGCGCAGCGAUGCGUUGAGCUAACCGGUACUAAUGAACCGUGAGGCUUAACCU